GUAAAUACAACACACUGAUUAAAUGUCAAAAAGAUUUAAAAAAAACACAAAUGAGUCCACAUUCCUAAUAUUUUUGAAGAAAAAGAAAUGAUUCUAUUAACUUGAAGUUCAUUCAACAUUAUAUUCUUACAUUCAAGACGAUCAUGUCAUCCAAAAAUAAUUAAACUUAUAAUUUAUUCUUCUCGUCACCAGAGCAAUACCCAUUAACUCCGGAUUAAUAUAAUAUAGUCCGUCCUUAAUCAAGCCGCACAAAUUUGUUUUUUAACUUCUCUCAAAUACUCCGCCUAUAGUAAAAUUCAAUUUUUACUAAUAUAAUUGUUUGUCCGCCUAUAGUAAAAUCCAAUUUAUUUAUUUUUCCAUUUAUGAUCCGGGUUAACACCCUCAAACAUAUAUAUAUAUCGUCAACAUCCAACAAUUUUGAACGAAGCUCGUGGAUUAGCAGAAAAUGGGGCCAACUGAUUGUUCAAGUAGAUGGUGAAAGAGGCGUACAGGGAAUGUGAUGAGUAGCUCAAAAUCUACAAACGCAAAGAGGGGGCACCAUACUGCGAUUGACACCUAUAUACAUGUCACGUUGCUUCGCUUAUAUAAUUUGCGUUGAGUGAUGAAUUAUGCACUCGCAUAUACCUACUGUAAUAAGACACCUCCACAGCUUCAACUAUACAUGCUACUGAAUUCAAAUUGGGGUAUCUAUGAUUAUGAAUGAUCUUACCUCAAAAAACUAUAUACUAGCAACUUGAUGAACCAUUGACCUUUAAUUUAUCUUGAGGAUAAGUGAAAGACAAUUAUU
rnacentral:lncRNA from 1 species